UAGCUGGUGCUGGCGUCUGGCCUAAGCUGGAUCACCAAGCUCCCAACCCAGAGGUGCCUCCAGUUCUCCAGCCCCCAGGCCAGAGGAGAUGCUUACACCCCUCCCCGUGCCGGGGCCCAGACCGGACUGAGAACCCCAAACCUGGUUUGGUAAGGGGAGGAGCUUUCCUACAAGCCAUCCAGGGAUGAACUCGAUGCUCUGACCCAGAUCCUGUCUUUGCACAGCAGGGCUGAUCCCUUCCUUGUCCUAGUUUCUCCACCUCUGCAACAAGAUAUGUGUGUUUGCGUAUUCGUCAGGACUAUUUGGGUGGUUUGGCCUCACGUCACUUUGUGUGACAAUAGCCCAUCUGAAGCAAGCAGAGAGACUUCAAGAGUUCUGGCACACUGCAGCCUGCCCUUGCUCGCUCCGCGUGCAGCCCUGACAUCGACAUGUGAAUGCGCUGGGUGAAGGAGCCAGAUGGUGAGAGACACGUAACCAAUCGCCCUGUUCCCCCUGCCAACAGCCAGAAAUGGGGGAGGGGGUGUGGCGGCCAUUGACCGAAAGCCUCCAAAAUUAGAAGAGGCCACAGAAGCUUGAGUGACCCCAGCUAAGACCAACACAACUGACCCAGCCCAAACUGCU